rnacentral:tRNA from 1 species
GGAGAAGCUGUGGUUCAGUGGUCGAACAUCUGCCUUGAAUACAGAAGGUCCCAGGUUCAAUCCUUGGCAUCUCCA